CCUACGGGGGGCAGCAGUGGGGAAUAUUGGACAAUGGGGGGAACCCUGAUCCAGCCAUGCCGCGUGUGUGAAGAAGGCCCUCGGGUUGUAAAGCACUUUCAGUGAGGAAGAACGCCUGGUGGUUAAUACCCAUCAGGAAAGACAUCACUCACAGAAGAAGCACCGGCUAACUCCGUGCCAGCAGCCGCGGUAAUACGGAGGGUGCGAGCGUUAAUCGGAAUUACUGGGCGUAAAGCGCGCGUAGGUGGCUUGAUAAGCCGGUUGUGAAAGCCCCGGGCUCAACCUGGGAACGGCAUCCGGAACUGUCAAGCUAGAGCGCAGGAGAGGAAGGUAGAACGCCCGGUGUAGCGGUGAAAUGCGUAGAGAUCGGGAGGAAUACCAGUGGCGAAGGCGGCCUUCUGGACUGACACUGACACUGAGGUGCGAAAGCGUGGGUAGCAAACAGGAUUAGAUACCCGUGUAGUC
rnacentral:rRNA from 1 species